AGCGAACGCUGGCGGCAGGCUUAACACAUGCAAGUCGAGCGGGCACCUUUCGGGGUGUCAGCGGCGGACGGGUGAGUAACGCGUGGGAACGUGCCCUCUGGUUCGGAAUAACUCAGGGAAACUUGAGCUAAUACCGGAUACGCCCUUUUGGGGAAAGGCUUGCUGCCGGAGGAUCGGCCCGCGUCUGAUUAGCUAGUUGGUGAGGUAACGGCUCACCAAGGCGACGAUCAGUAGCUGGUCUGAGAGGAUGAUCAGCCACACUGGGACUGAGACACGGCCCAGACUCCUACGGGAAGCAGCAGUGGGGAAUAUUGGACAAUGGGCGCAAGCCUGAUCCAGCCAUGCCGCGUGAGUGAUGAAGGCCUUAGGGUUGUAAAGCUCUUUUAUCCGGGACGAUAAUGACGGUACCGGAGGAAUAAGCCCCGGCUAACUUCGUG
rnacentral:rRNA from 1 species